rnacentral:misc_RNA from 1 species
AGCCACUCCUGUUGAGGUAGUAACGCAAAUCUUCCCUCUUAUUUUCUAUAGAAUUCUAUGUUUUGAAUUGGCCUUUUAGAUUAGAUGGCCUAGUUAUAUUCUUGGCUUUCAAAUGACUGCCAUGGGAUUGACUUGUUAUCAUUACAUCAGUUUUCAAGCCAAUAAUUGGUGGCAGUUUUUAUUUGUCUUCUUUAUAUUUCAUUGCUUCCUGAUUGCCAUGGUAUUAACUGUUGCCAAGAUACUGAUGCCAAUAAUUGUUGGGAGUUGUUAAUUUUUCUUGUUUAU